rnacentral:lncRNA from 1 species
UUUUGACUACUCUACAUAAAACGCCAAACUCAUGAAUAAAACGCUAUUAAAAUCCCGCCUUAACCCACAUAGCACACUUCAUCCUAAUCUAAACGUCAUUAGAUAUAAAACGCCAAAUUUUGUUUUUAACCGAUAAAGGUGAACAAACAGUACUGAAACGACGGAACUUAAUUACUAGCAUUUACUAUAAUAUAAAUCGCGCCUAAAAUACGCGCCAAAAACUUCCUAUAUAUACAACCUCUCAGACCUACUAAAAACCACACCAAAACCCCAAACACCAUAUUUUCCUCUAUACCAUCAUCUUAGAAACGCCAAAAAAACCCAACUAUCAAAUAUCCCAAUCCAUGUUUCUUUGAGAUACACUAUUUUCUCAGUAAACUUUCGCUCGAUGUAAUGGGCAAAAUCCUCAAUAUAAACGCCAAAACAUACAAAAACCACAAAAUUUCAAAAACGUCAUUUCAUGGAGAUUCAGUUUUGUUCUCAAUAAAAUUUAGCUGAAGGGGAUGGACAACAUUGUUAGACAUCUUUCUUGACUGCGUAUUAACAAUGUUGUCCGUCUUGUUUACCAAGACAUUAUUGAGUUUAGCAUAACCAAAAUUAGAGGUUUAUGCAUGUUAUGAACAAAUAUGUCGAAAAAAAAGAUGGAAAAAAAUGA